rnacentral:misc_RNA from 1 species
AACAUCGCGCACCUGCGGGAACCUGCGGAAGGAUCAUUAAAGAUUGACCGAAAGGUCUUAUCUCUAUAUCCCUCACCUCUGUGAACUGUGGACCUCCGGGUCUAUUUAACAAACAUCAGUGUAAUGAACGUAUAUAUCAUUAAACAAAACAAAACUUUUAACAAUGGAUCU